rnacentral:rRNA from 1 species
GAUGAACGCUGGCGGCGUGCCUAAUACAUGCAAGUCGAGCGAAUGGAUUGAGAGCUUGCUCUUAUGAAGUUAGCGGCGGACGGGUGAGUAACACGUUGGUAACCUGCCCAUAAGACUGGGAUAACUCCGGGAAACCGGGGCUAAUACCGGAUAACAUUUUGAACCGCAUGGUACGAAAGUGAAAGGCGGCUACGGCUGUCACUUAUGGAUGGACCAGGGUCGCAUUAGCUAGUUGGUGAGGUAACGGCUCACCAAGGCAACGAUGCGUAACCGAACUGAGAGGGUGAUCGGCCACACUGGGACUGAGACACGGCCCAGAAUCCUACGGGAGGCAGCAGUAGGGAAUCUUCCGCAAUGGACGAAAGUCUGACGGAGCAACGCCGCGUGAGUGAUGAAGGCUUUCGGGUCGUAAAACUCUGUUGUUAGGGAAGAACAAGUGCUAGUUGAAUAAGCUGGCACCUUGACGGUACCUAACCAGAAAGCCACGGCUAACUACGUGCCAGCCGCCGCCGUAA